rnacentral:tRNA from 1 species
AGGUAUUUAGCUUAGAGGCAAAGCAUCUUGCUUACAACAAGAGGAUCAUUGGUUCAAAUCCAUUAAUACCUA